UAUGCCUUGUGGACUAUUCUCAGU
rnacentral:piRNA from 1 species